rnacentral:rRNA from 1 species
UACAUAGGGAGCAAGCGUUAUCCGGAAUGAUUGGGCGUAAAGCGUCUGUAGGUGGUUCAAAAAGUCUACUGUCAAAUACGUUGGCUCAACCAACGGCAGGCAUUAGAGUACUAUUGAACUAGAGUGUGGUAGAGGUAGAGGGAAUCCCUAGCGUAACAGUGAAAUGUGUAGAUUUUAGGGAGAACACCAGCGGCGAAGGCGCUCUACUGGGCCGAUUACUGACACUGAGAGACGAAAGCUAAGGGAGCGAAAGGG